rnacentral:rRNA from 1 species
GACGAACGCUGGCGGCGUGCUUAACACAUGCAAGUCGAACGGAAAGGCCCUGCUUGCAGGGUACUCGAGUGGCGAACGGGUGAGUAACACGUGGGUGAUCUGCCCUGCACUUCGGGAUAAGCCUGGGAAACUGGGUCUAAUACCGGAUAGGAGCCAUUCUUAGUGUGAUGGUUGGAAAGUUUUUUCGGUGUAGGAUGAGCUCGCGGCCUAUCAGCUUGUUGGUGGGGUAAUGGCCUACCAAGGCGGCGACGGGUAGCCGGCCUGAGAGGGUGGACGGCCACAUUGGGACUGAGAUACGGCCCAGACUCCUACGGGAGGCAGCAGUGGGGAAUAUUGCACAAUGGGCGCAAGCCUGAUGCAGCGACGCCGCGUGGGGGAUGACGGCCUUCGGGUUGGAAACUCCUUUCGCUAGGGACGAAGCUUUUUGUGACGGUACCUAGAUAAGAAGCACCGGCUAACUACGUG